GACGGGGGAUGCAAGUGUUAUCCGGAAUAAUUGGGCGUAAAGCGUCUGUAGGUGGUUUACCAAGUCUGUUGUUAAAAAUCAGGGCUUAACCCUGAUCCGGCAACAGAAACUAGUAGGCUGGAGUACGGUAGGGGCAGAGGGAAUUCUCGGUGUAGUGGUGAAAUACGUAGAUAUCGAGAAGAACACCAAUAGCGAAAGCACUCUGCUGGGCCGAAACUGACAUUGAGAGACGAAAAGCUAGGGGAGCGAAUGGG
rnacentral:rRNA from 1 species